ensembl:lncRNA
CAUGGAACAAGUGCCUGUUUCAGUCUCUUAUUUAAGCACCGCAGAUGCGUUGAAACCUAAUAAAAACAGUUCCCUGGCAUAUCAACCCUAACCAGAGAGUAAGAAGCUAAAAAUCUGUGAAUCGCCUACAACCAAAGGGGAGUCUUUUGAGAGCUGCAUUGUUAAAACUCUGAGAACAGGUGCUCUCCAGAUACGUUCUCAAGGACACAUUCAUCUGUGAAUGCGGAUUUUUAUUCCUGUGCCUCAUUCUGUUGGAGCUGUAGAAAACCAAACUCUAUCUGGUCAAGAGCUCAGGGUGAUCUUUGAGCUAACGAGGACGCUAGGUGACACCAAGCCCAAACACUCUCUGAGCAAGUGCCUGGUCCUGAGAGGUGAUCGAGGUCACACGACUAUAAGAUAUAGGCAGGAACUGAAAAAUCACAUCUCCAGACUCAUCACUUGAUACCUGCUUGGGCGUAACUAUUUGUAUUCAACUGGUAACAGCCUAACUACACUUUUGAUCCUAUGGGAAUAGACAGUCUGGAAUGUGGUGAUACUCUGUAGCUAUCAAAUCUGCAGGUGAGAGAAAUAAUAUUUAUGAAAAUAAUCCAAAGAACAUGCAGUCCAUUUAUUUCUCUAAACGGUUAUUUCUCAACCUUUUGCUUUUUAAAUUGGUCCCUUAUGGAGCCUUUUUAGGCAUUUUUCUCCUUAUCACCUUCCUGCUCCUAGAGAAACUUGAAUAUCAGAGAUAAGUGGUGUAUAUAUUUAUGUACUGUGGCCCUUUAGAAGUCUACAAGCUAUUUUAAGAUCUAAGAUUUUCUUGCCUCCUAAGAACAAAUAAUCAUCUGCUUUUGGAUGGUAUUGCCUAUGUUGAAAAUUCAUGCUCCAAGCACUAGGAAAUCUAUCCCUGGACUGAUAGAAUAUUUCUCUGCCUACACUCCAUUAUAUUGACUCCCAACAAUUGCUUUUUUGCUUAACUGUCCUGUACUUUGGAUUAAUAUGUAUAUCUAGUAAUGCUAUAAGAAACAACACCAAUAAACUACUGUAAGGCUACAGAUAAAUUGCUAAUUGGAGGCAACAUAGCAUAGUGAUUACAAGUUCUAUCUGACCACUUAAAUUUAAUCUUGACAUUACCACUUACUAGCUAUGCAACAUUAGACCUAUUAUAUAUCAUCUCUCUAAGUCUCAAUUUGCUCAUGUAUAAAAUGAGAAUAAUAAUAGUACUCACACCACAGGAUGAUAAGAAUUAAGGAUAAAACAAACAUAAACUGCCUGACCCAGAAUAAAUGUUCAGCAAUAUUAGCUCUUAGAUAUACAUACAGUAAUGCAGGGUGCUCUCCACAAAUAUUCUAAAUGGAAUGUUUUUUAGCCAGGACCAGUGGCUUAUAUCUGUAAUCUCAUUGUUUUAGGAGGCUGACGUGGGAAGAUCACUUGAUACCAGAAGUUUGAGACCAGCCUGAGCAACAUAGUAAGAUCCUGUCUCUCCAAAAAAAUUUUUUAAAAAAAGAAAAGCUUAGAACUUAGCCUGGUGUGGUGGGGUGUAUAUACUGCCUGAAGUCCCAGCUAUUCAAGAGGCUGAGUUGGGUGGAUUGCUUGAGCCCAGGAGAUCGAGGUUACAAGGCUACACUGAGCCAUGAUCACACCACUGGACUCCGGCCUGGAUAACAGAGCAAGGCCCCAUUUCAAAUAAGACAAAAAACAAAAAAAACAAAAAACAAACAAAUAAACAAAAACAGAAAACAAACAAAAAAACUCCAAAAUCAAAAAGAAUGUUUUUACUUGUCAUACUGAGUAUGUUCACACUGGUCAUAUUAGUUGAGUAAUGGAUUUUAUCUGCAGA